UACAGGGGGUGCAAACGUUGCUCGGAAUUAUUGGGCGUAAAGCGCGCGUAGGCGGUUAUGCAAGACAGAUGUGAAAUCCCCGGGCUCAACCUGGGAACUGCAUUUGUGACUGCAUAGCUAGAGUACGGUAGAGGGGGAUGGAAUUCCGCGUGUAGCAGUGAAAUGCGUAGAUAUGCGGAGGAACACCGAUGGCGAAGGCAAUCCCCUGGACCUGUACUGACGCUCAUGCACGAAAGCGUGGGGAGCAAACAGG
rnacentral:rRNA from 1 species